rnacentral:rRNA from 1 species
UUUAUAGAUAAAACUAAAAUUAAAAUUUUAAGUUUACCUUUUGCAUCAUGAUUUACCGAGUAAAUUUAAAUAUUUAUAAACUUGAAAUGUUAAGAUAUUAAAGUUUUUUACUAUAGCGGGUAGCUCUAGAAUUUAAUACUUUAAGAAGUGAUAAAUUAAUCGGUUAACAUUAUAACCAGUUUGAGACUUGAAACUUAAAUUAGGAAAAACCUGUUAAUAAGUUUUUUCUAUUUGUAAAUAAAAUAAUAAAUACAUUUGUAGGGUAGAAAGGUAACCUCACUUAAAUAAGUGUUAUAACUUAGUAUUUAAAUUUUUAAAAUUUUCUGUUAGUGGUCUCAUUUAAUUAACUAUAUAAAAUAAAUUAUGUUAAAAUAAGUAUAAAAAUAGUUAAUAAUUUUCUCAAAAUAAUUCGGUAUGUUUAUUAAAAACAUUUCUAUAAAGAUUUAUUUAUAGUAUAACCUGCUCAGUGCGAUGUAAAUAGCCGCAGUAUUUUGACUGUGCUAAGGUAGCAUAAUUGAUUGCCUUUUAAAUGGAGGAUUGUUUGAAUGGUUGGACCAGAAUUACUAUUUAAUAAUUAAUUAAACAGAAAUUAGUUUAUCAGCACAGAAUCUGAUAUAAUCUUAUUAGACGGAAAGACCCUGAAAUCUUAAUAAUUUAAAUUUGCUUGGGACAAGAUUAAAUAUAUUAUUUAAAUUGGGAACCCCUGUUUUGGGUUUAAUGAUUGAAGUUACUUCAGGGAUAACUGGGUUAGAAAAAGUUAAAGCUCUUAUUAAACUUUUUAAUUGCCACCUCGAUGUUGACUUAGAGUUUACCACUUGGCGCAGAAGCUAAAAUUGGUGGGUCUGUUCGGCCCUUAAACCUCUAAUGAGUUGAGUUAAGACCGGCGUAAGCCAGGUUGGUUCUUAUCUAUAUUUGAUUUCUUUUAGUACGAAAGGAUUUAAGAAGUUUUAGGUUAA